GACGUAGGGCGCGAGCGUUGUCCGGAUUUAUUGGGCGUAAAGAGCUCGUAGGCGGCUUGUCGCGUCGACUGUGAAAACCCGUGGCUCAACCAUGUGGUCUGCAGUCGAUACGGGCAGGCUAGAAUUCGGUAGGGGGGACUGGAAUUCCUGGUGUAGCGGUGAAAUGCGCAGAUAUCAGGAGGAACACCGGUGGCGAAGGCGGGUCUCUGGGCCGAUAUUGACGCUGAGGAGCGAAAGCGUGGGGAGCGAACAGG
rnacentral:rRNA from 1 species